rnacentral:rRNA from 1 species
GAUGAACGCUAGCGGGAGGCUUAACACAUGCAAGUCGAGGGGCAGCAUAGGGUAGCAAUACUCUGAUGGCGACCGGCAAACGGGUGAGUAACGCGUAUGCAACCUACCCUGUACAGGGGGAUAACCCGGAGAAAUUCGGACUAAUAUCCCGUAAUAAUAUCCGGAGGCAUCUUUGGAUAUUUAAAGUUCCGACGGUACGGGAUGGGCAUGCGUAACAUUAGCUGGUUGGUAAGGUAACGGCUUACCAAGGCUAUGAUGUUUAGGGGUCCUGAGAGGGUGGUCCCCCACACUGGUACUGAGACACGGACCAGACUCCUACGGGAGGCAGCAGUGAGGAAUAUUGGUCAAUGGGCGCAAGCCUGAACCAGCCAUCCCGCGUGCAGGAAGACGGCCCUAUGGGUUGUAAACUGCUUUUCCAGGGAGAGAAACUUACGCACGUGUUGCGUGACUGACGGUACCCUGGGAAUAAGCAUCGGCUAACUCCGUGCCAGCAGCCGCGGUAAUCUCGUCUCUAC